UACGUAGGGUGCGAGCGUUGUCCGGAAUUAUUGGGCGUAAAGAGCUCGUAGGCGGUCUGUCGCGUCGAUCGUGAAAACUUGGGGCUUAACCCUGAGCUUGCGGUCGAUACGGGCAUGACUGGAGUUCGGCAGGGGAGACUGGAAUUCCUGGUGUAGCGGUGAAAUGCGCAGAUAUCAGGAGGAACACCGGUGGCGAAGGCAGGUCUCUGGGUCGAUACUGACGCUGAGGAGCGAAAGCGUGGGGAGCGAACAGG
rnacentral:rRNA from 1 species